rnacentral:tRNA from 1 species
GGCCUAUUAGCUCAGCUGGUUAGAGCGUCGUUUUAGCGUCGUGCUAAUAACGCGAAGGUCGCAGGUUCGAGACCUGCAUGGGCCA